rnacentral:rRNA from 1 species
GAUGAACGCUGGCGGCGUGCCUAAUACAUGCAAGUCGAGCGAACAGACGAGGAGCUUGCUCCUCUGACGUUAGCGGCGGACGGGUGAGUAACACGUGGAUAACCUACCUAUAAGACUGGGAUAACUUCGGGAAACCGGAGCUAAUACCGGAUAAUAUAUUGAACCGCAUGGUUCAAUAGUGAAAGACGGUUUUGCUGUCACUUAUAGAUGGAUCCGCGCCGCAUUAGCUAGUUGGUAAGGUAACGGCUUACCAAGGCAACGAUGCGUAGCCGACCUGAGAGGGUGACGGGCCACAUUGGACCUGCGACCCGGCCCAGCCCCCGCGGGGGGGAGCCAGUGGGGAUUUGCCCGCAAGGGGCAAAGCCCGAAGGGACCACCCCCGGGGGAUGAAGAAAGUUUUCCGGAUCUAAAACUUUUUUUUUGGGGAAAAAAAAAUUGUGAAAGUAAUUAUGCCCUUCUUGACGUUCCCUAACAAAAAACCCACGCCAAACUCCGUC